UUUUUGAUAAUAAUUUAAAGUAGGGCCUGCCCACUGAAGAUUUAAAGGGCCGCAGUAUUUUGACUGUGCAAAGGUAGCAUAAUCAUUAGUUUUUUAAUUGAAAGCUUGUAUGAAUGGUUUGAUGAGAAAAUAACUUUCUAUAUUUAAAUUUUUAUGAAUUUUAUUUUUAAGUUAAAAAGCUUAAAUUUUUUUAAUAGACGAGAAGACCCUAUAGAGUUUUAUUAUGAUAAAUUUUUAUAUUUUUAGAAUUAAUUAAUUUUAAUUUUUAUUAUAAUUUGAUUGGGGUGAUUAAAAAAUUUAAUGAACUUUUUUUAUUUUAAUACAUAAAUUUAUGAAUAAUUGAUCCAUUUAAAUGAUUAAAAGAACAAAUUACCUUAGGGAUAACAGCGUAAUUUUUUUUUAGAGUUCAAAUCGAAAAAAGAGAUUGCGACCUCGAUGUUGGAUUAAAGUUAAUUUUAGGUGUAGAAGCUUAAAAAUUUGGUCUGUUCGACCAUUAAAACUUUACA
rnacentral:rRNA from 1 species